AUACGGAGGGUGCAAGCGUUGUUCGGAAUCACUGGGCGUAAAGGGCGCGCAGGCGGUUUGGUAAGUCAGAUGUGAAAGCCCACGGCUCAACCGUGGAAGUGCAUUUGAAACUGUCAGACUUGAGUACUAGAGGGGAAAGUGGAAUUCCCGGUGUAGAGGUGAAAUUCGUAGAUAUCGGGAGGAAUACCGGUGGCGAAGGCGACUUUCUGGCUAGAUACUGACGCUGAGGCGCGAAAGCGUGGGGAGCAAACAGGAUUAGAAACCCGGGUAGUCC
rnacentral:rRNA from 1 species